AAUUGUGAUUGUUAUGUUUCUAUGCACCACUCUGAAGGAUUUGGGUUGACCUUGGCGGAAGCCAU
rnacentral:snoRNA from 1 species